rnacentral:rRNA from 1 species
UACGUAGGGUGCAAGCGUUAAUCGGAAUUACUGGGCGUAAAGCGUGCGCAGGCGGCUUUGCAAGACAGAUGUGAAAUCCCCGGGCUUAACCUGGGAACUGCAUUUGUGACUGCAUGGCUGGAGUGCGGCAGAGGGGGAUGGAAUUCCGCGUGUAGCAGUGAAAUGCGUAGAUAUGCGGAGGAACACCGAUGGCGAAGGCAGUCCCCCUGGGCCUGCACUGACGCUCAUGCACGAAAGCGUGGGGAGCGAAACAGG